GACGAACGCUGGCGGCGUGCUUAACACAUGCAAGUCGAGCGGUAAGGCCCUUUCGGGGGUACACGAGCGGCGAACGGGUGAGUAACACGUGGGUGACCUGCCCUCAGCUCUGGGGAUAAGCCUGGGAAACCGGGUCUAAUACUGGAUAUGACUCCAUGACGCAUGUUGUGGGGUGGAAAGCCUUGUGCGGCUGAGGAUGGGCCCCGCGGCCUAUCAGCUUGUUGGUGGGGUGANGGCCUACCAAGGCGACGACGGGUAGCCGGCCUGAGAGGGCGACCGGCCACACUGGGACUGAGACACGG
rnacentral:rRNA from 1 species